UUAAGAGAGAUUUUAGUUUCAUAAUAUUUAUUUUAUGUGGCUUAAUUAAUAUUAUUAUAAUUGUUUUAUGUAAUUUAUCCUGCUAAUAAUUUAUUUCAUAUUACAAUCAAAUUUGUUUUUAAUAAUUAGUGUUAAGCAUUUAUCUUCAGAUAAUAUAUAUUUUGAACAUUUCCAUAACUAUUUCUGUUACUAUAUUUAUUGUACAAUGUAGUCAUUUUUGAUGUAUCUUCAGAUAAUAAUAUAUGUACAAAGUAUUAUAUAAUUUAGUUUUGAUUUAUUACAACUCUUUUCGUUAUGAAUUUUAAUAAAUCUCAGUAUUUCAUUUGCU
rnacentral:lncRNA from 1 species